GGUGCAAGUGCGAGAUUAAGUGUGAAAUACAUAACCAGAGUAUAACAUCCUAGAUGCAGUCAAGCAGGACAAGUACAAAUUAUACAAUACCCGAGGGUGAUCCUACAUGGUGAUGUUCUGUCAGAACCCCCGUCAGAAUCCUCGUGAUCCACCAAGCACCUCUACUUAAAACCUGGAGGGGCGCAAAACAAAAAGUGUGAGUGGGCAAAAACAAAGCUUUUCAAAAUCAUUUCAUUUCUCAAAAGUUCUAACCCCUCGCCGUAAAACCUGUAUAAUUUUCCUAGAAAAAUAGAAUAUAUACAUAUCCCAAAACCAUGCUCAGAAAACAAUAUUAUAAGUAUGCCAUGCCAAAGUAUCUCAAUGCAAUGCUAUAGGUAAACCAGGCAAAAUAUAUAAAUAUCAAAUAUCGCAUUAGUCAAAUCUCUCUAACUCAAACUGCACUGCUAAGUAUAUAGCUCAUAACCAAUCUCAAUCAUAUCAAAUCAAAUCCUGCACACGAGUCAGAACCACCUAUAGUGGUUUGCAUGACAAGACUAGGUGUAAAGUAAAUAUGCUCUAGUGUUACGAUCACGUAAAGGCUGUGCGAAUGAUCGUGGGUCACCUACGAGUCGAAACCACCUAAAGUGGUAUGUACGACAAGCAUGUGCACCUAACUUGGAUCCAAGGUGAGCAUACGGUGCGGGAGGUGAACAUCACGUGAAAGACUGUGCCCUAACUCUGGGUGGGAGCACUAACAUCGGGGUGCAGGUUUAUGAGCUCUUAAUACAUUACAACAUAUCUCACAUAACCGAAACAAUCUCAUACCUUUGAUUUAUGAACUUACCUGGCACUUACUUGUGCGUUCGCAACACCAAUCAUGAAUGUCUGCAACUACUAAUGCAUAAUUAAAAUAGAUAGAUACUUGCAUGGCAUUUCCAAAACAUAUAUUCAUUUAAAUUCAUUUUCUGGGAAAAAUCUCGAGUAUAUAGGUAUAUACGGAAAACCAAAAGCCCACUCAUUGGUAUGUCGAAGGGUCGUAGCCCCUGAGCCUCGAUUGAUGGCGCUCGUCCUCAGGAUAGGUCUCACCUAUAUGCGAAAUAACUAAAUAAAUGUUAUUUAAAGCACAUAACCAAAAUUAGGUAAUAACUUCUCAUACAAAGCUCAAAUGGGGUAUUUGAAUAUACCACCAUGAUCUAGUCAACCUCAGGAACAUCCCCAUAUUUUUAGAAAAAAUUUCGGACAU
rnacentral:lncRNA from 1 species